rnacentral:rRNA from 1 species
AAACAUAAAUAGAACUUUACCUAUCUAUUCGCCCGGGUACUACGAGCAUUAGCUUGAAACCCAAAGGACUUGGCGGUGCUUCAGACCCCCCCUAGAGGAGCCUGUUCCAGAACCGACACUCCCCGUUUAACCUCACCCUUCCUAGUUUUUACCGCCUAUAUACCGCCGUCGCAAGCUUACCCUGUGAAGGUCUAAUAGUGAGCAUAAUCGGCACAGCCCAAAACGUCAGGUCGAGGUGUAGCUUAUGGAAGGGGCAGCAAUGGGCUACAUUCCCUAACACCAGGGAAUACGAAUACUACGUUGAAACACGUACUUGAAGGAGGAUUUAGCAGUAAGCAGCAAGCAGAGAGUCCC